GACGAACGCUGGCGGCGUGCCUAAUACAUGCAAGUAGAACGCUGAAGGAGGAGCUUGCUUCUCUGGAUGAGUUGCGAACGGGUGAGUAACGCGUAGGUAACCUGCCUGGUAGCGGGGGAUAACUAUUGGAAACGAUAGCUAAUACCGCAUAAGAGUAGAUGUUGCAUGACAUUUGCUUAAAAGGUGCACUUGCAUCACUACCAGAUGGACCUGCGUUGUAUUAGCUAGUUGGUGAGGUAGCGGCUCACCAAGGCGACGAUACAUAGCCGACCUGAGAGGGUGAUCGGCCACACUGGGACUGAGACACGGCCCAGACUCCUACGGGAGGCAGCAGUAGGGAAUCUUCGGCAAUGGACGGAAGUCUGACCGAGCAACGCCGCGUGAGUGAAGAAGGUUUUCGGAUCGUAAAGCUCUGUUGUAAGAGAAGAACGAGUGUGAGAGUGGAAAGUUCAC
rnacentral:rRNA from 1 species